CCAACUGGGCAGAGGGAUCCUCCUCCUCUCGUCACUGAUGCUUUUAGUGAUUUCAGGACUAAAAACCCUCAGUAAACAAUGCUGCUGGACACACAUUUGGAGCCCAUUUCCAGAGAACUGAGGUGGACGAGAAGGUGGCAGAACAGGGAAGACAACGGGACCAGAGCCCUUCACAGGAGCCACUGCCUGACCGGGAGCGCCCAUGCUCAUCGCUGCCUCACGGGCCCGGGGAGGCGAUACCGUCAGGGCACCCCCGCGGCUCGCCCUGGACACCAGGGCUGAGGGCUGCGGCUGCCGCUGGCGCCUCCGCAGGGAGCUCCGCGGGCACACCGCGCUUCGGCCCAGCCCUCGCUGGCUGCCCUGCGCGGAGCUGCGUCCCCGCCGCGUCCGCCACAGCGGGGUAAGGACAUCUUCCCCAGCAGGACACCCUCCCAACGCAGGCUCGCCGCUGACAGCCGCAGCCUGCCCGCACACGCCGCCCG